AUUCAGCCAUAGAAAGCAGCGCAAGCAGAAGCAUUUGCACUUUCCUUAUUCUGAUUUAUGGUAACUGGGAAGGCUAUUUAUAUUAAAUCUUUUCCAGUCCUCAGCUCAUCAAGAAGGCAGACUGUGACAGAAUCACCAGUCCACUAAGGCUUCUUCUAGAUGUGGUAAACAAGGGGUGGAAAGCAACACUUUGUAUAAAACCUGCACGUGCCAGCGUAGACAAAGGAGGAUCACCGACAGGAACUGUCCACACGUACCCACUCCUGUAGCGAUGCUGCCAGAUUCAGAUACUAUCUUCAGAGAGACUGUCCACUGAUAAGAUCAAGUCACCAUGUGGCAAGUCGAACCAUCCCUUAAAGAAGAUGAGCACCUGAGAAAAAUUUUGAUGUAAUGCAUCAC